AUCUCAGUCAGCCCUGGGAAUGGCCCUCAUUAAGAAGCGCGGUGUGAGUCUCAGGAAGGCACUCGCCGUUUCCUCUUAGCUGAAUCAGCUGCAAGAUCUCAAAUUGGUUUUCCCGGCGUGCCACAGAAUUUAGGUCAAGUUCCCACUGGGGACGAAGCGGUGAGAUGUGCGGUGUUUCUUCUGCUCGGCACAGCUCCUCUGCAGGAGAGCAGAGCUGGGCGCUGUUCCUCUCGCUCCUCUGAAGGGUGAGCCUGCCUUGCUGUGAAAGUUUAUGGUAAGCAGCUGGCGUAAGGGAGCAUCCUGCCUGUGAACUGACUUUAGCAUGGUUCCUCUGGUUGACAUCAGCGUUCAGCGCUGCUGCAGGAGGACCAGCUGCAUUCACUGCUGGGUGCUGGUAAGCUGCAGGGAAAGCCUUUGCACGUGACGGAUCUAAGCACAUCUGGGAGCUGGCUCUUCUCAGGCCGAGAGCAGUGAAUCACUGCAGAGGAAGAUCACCUACAGUGCUUUCACUUUGUGGGUGACACUCAUGGCAGUGUGAUUACUUGGAAUUUGAGGUGAAAAUGCCCAGCCGGAGAGAUCAAGUCAAGACAGAGAAAAAUGAGCAGCACGUUAAAGUAAGAAAAUCAGGCUUUUUGUGAACAGCGUAAUUGCUUGUUUGUGCAUUGCUGAAGUGCAAAGGUACUGUUGAUAACUUUUUAAUGCUCAACUUUUUGAAUAAUCUUCAUAAUCAUCACCCAGGACCGCAAGGUAGUGAUUUGUGGCUGCAGUGUGUGUGACAGAAAGCCAAACUGCUUGACAGAACAUCAAAUGUUUGUAGCACUGAAGUUUUAUGCAGCCGUUGCAAAAUCUUUCAUGCUUGAAACAAUGAUGAAAAUUGAUUGUCAGCUAUGAAACCAAAAUCACAUUAAUCCACU
rnacentral:lncRNA from 7 species